rnacentral:tRNA from 1 species
GGGGAUUUAACUCAGUGGUAGAGCACUUGCCUAGGAAGCAAGCGCAAGGCCCUGGGUUCAGUCCCCA